ACUCUCCAGUUCCCUCCCAUCGUAACGAAACACUUGGCUGGGUGGUUCCAGGGGCAGGGGUGGAAAUGUUACAAUAAAGCUGACUUCAAUGUUUCUGUAGUACAUAGAUUAGUUUCAAACGGUU
rnacentral:snoRNA from 1 species